UACAGAGGUCCCAAGCGUUGUUCGGAUUCAUUGGGCGUAAAGGGUGCGUAGGCGGCGCGGGAAGUCGGGUGUGAAAGCCCUCGGCUCAACCGAGGAACUGCGCUUGAAACUGUUUGGCUCGAGUCAACUAGAGGUGCACGGAACUUCCAGUGGAGCGGUGAAAUGUGUUGAUAUUGGAAGGAACACCGGAGGCGAAAGCGGUGCACUGGGGUUGGUCUGACGCUGAGGCACGAAAGCCAGGGGAGCGAACGGG
rnacentral:rRNA from 1 species